UACGUAGGGUGCGAGCGUUAAUCGGAAUUACUGGGCGUAAAGCGUGCGCAGUCGGUUUUGUAAGCCAGAUGUGAAAGCCCCGGGCUCAACCUGGGAAUGGCAUUUGGGACUGCAAGGCUGGAGUAUGGCAGAGGAGACUAGAAUUCCUGGUGUAGCAGUGAAAUGCGUAGAUAUCAGGAGGAAUACCGAUGGCGAAGGCAGGUCUCUGGGCCAAUACUGACGCUCAUGCACGAAAGCGUGGGGAGCAAACAGG
rnacentral:rRNA from 1 species